GACGAACGCUGGCGGCGUGCUUAACACAUGCAAGUCGAGCGGUAAGGCCCUUUCGGGGGUACACGAGCGGCGAACGGGUGAGUAACACGUGGGUGACCUGCCCUCAGCUCUGGGAUAAGCCUGGGAAACCGGGUCUAAUACCGGAUAUGACUCCAUGACGCAUGUUGUGGGGUGGAAAGCCUUGUGCGGCUGAGGAUGGGCCCGCGGCCUAUCAGCUUGUUGGUGGGGUGAUGGCCUACCAAGGCGACGACGGGUAGCCGGCCUGAGAGGGCGACCGGCCACACUGGGACUGAGACACGGCCCAGACUCCUACGGGAGGCAGCAGUGGGGAAUCUCGCGCAAUGGGCGAAAGCCUGACGCAGCGACGCCGCGUGA
rnacentral:rRNA from 1 species